rnacentral:rRNA from 2 species
CGAGAUGAGUUCUCCCUGAGACUUAGAGUCUCCUGAAGGAACGUUGAAGACGACGACGUUGAUAGGCCGGGUGUGUAAGCGCAGCGAUGCGUUGAGCUAACCGGUACUAAUGAACCGUGAGGCUUAACCUU